AUAUAACAAAAUAUAAUCUCUAUUUCAUAUCUUAAUAAAAUUUUUUUGCAUAUCAGCUUCCCAAAUUUGAUAUGGUAACAAAAUUCAGUUGUUUUGUAUCUAAUUUAAUGAUAUCAGUAAUUGAAAUUGUCUUCAUGAUUUUCUUGUUUAUUCUCUUCACUGAUUGUAUCAAAUUUAUUAUAUUAAUACAAAAUUCACUUUGGCUUCCACUAGAUGACCAAGAUCAAAUCCAGCAGUCAGCAUACGGCAUUGGUGAUAGAUUAUAGAUAUGAGUAUCCAUUCUACAUUUCAAAGUUUAAAAAAUGCAAUAAUUAUAUUAAGCUAUUUGAUUUAAUAAUACAAUUAUUGUACACAUUUGGAAGAAUAACAUAUUUGAUUAUUGUUAAUAUUGGAAAAACUAAAGUUGGCCUCAUUUUACAUAACAUUAAAAGUUCUUAUUUGGAUCUUUAAUUAAUUCUAAUAAAUUUAAAUUAAAUGGAAUGGAAUGGACCAUAUCCAUUUAAUUUAAAAAGGGAGAUUAUAGUUGAAGCAUAUUAGACUUACAUAACUUUAUUAAUGUAUUAUGCAUUACAGUUGUGGAAGACAUGGAAUUCAGGUUGGGCAUAGAAUGUCACUUCUCACUUCAGCAAAAUUGGAGGGAGUGUGACAUUUUAGAAGAAAUAAAUGAUCAUACCGUCUGAUCCAGAGAUUCAUAGUGUCUGAGAAGAGGAAUUUCAUAACCUGCAGAUGUAGUGAAAAGCCAAGAUGAAAAUGAUGCUAGAAAAACAUUCUGUCUGAGACAAAGUGAAAUAAAGUCUCAGUUAAACCAACUGAUCUUUUAUCAUACUCAGAGAUUCUGUUUUUUGCCUCUAGAGAACAAGAAACAUUGAAAAGCCAUCUCCUCAACCAGAAAACUCUGUAUAGUUUUCCCAUGCGCAAGGAUCAUCACCCAUCCACAGAAAGGCUGUCUGAGGAAACAGAAGAAAUUAACCACCUCAACUGAGAGAUUAGUGAAUAUACCAUUAGGAUUUUCUUCAUAAG
rnacentral:lncRNA from 1 species